AAAAAGAGGUGCUAUAAAUUUAUGUAUACUUAUGAGUCCUUUUCCUCUUUCUACAAUCUCUUUGGCGUACAAUCCUAAUAGUGUUGGUUCUUCAUAGGGCAGUAGGCAUAGUUUAGUAAUUUGGGGAAUAUAAUUCCAAAUGAUUUCUCCAUAGUAGGACAGCUCCCACCAGCAAUGCAUCAAUGUACCUAUUUUUCCACAGCUCCUCCAUCAUCUAUUUUCCCUUUUUGGAUCAACUUUUGUCAGUCUGAAAAGUUCUUACCUAAGGAGAGGGGAACAAGCUGCCCCAGGGCACAGAGAUUGGAAACCUAAGAUGAGUCACAUAGGGGAGGACUAUCAGUCCUCUGACUGGCAAGUGCUGUGUCAAGGGAUAUAGAGGGGAGAAAUGAGACAUGGAAGGGACAACCACCCAGGUGAAAAAAGAGGCACUGGGUGCAAGGCUGGGAGGAGGCAGUGCUGAAGGGAGGCUGAAGGACAUGGAGGAGGAAGGCAAGAGGGUCAGCUGUGAGGCAAGAUGCUCCCAAUGGCCUUUCAAGGACUCUGGACAGCAUACACAUAAACACAGACAAGAAAUCAAGUUUUCUCCAGUUUAUUAUUUUUCUCUCCUGGAUUCUAAACUGUUUCCCAAUGAGCAUUUUCUCUUGUUACAUUUCCAGCAAACUUAAUUUUUAUUUUCACUCUGUAGAAGAAACAUGAAGUAGGUGGGGAAGAGAAUAAACAUCACACAUUUAACUUGGACUUUUAUUUCUCAAGAGACAGAUUCUACUCGCAUAUGAAUAAGGGCAAUGACCAAAAUAAGACAAAUGAGAUGACAAUAUGAAAACAGAUGCUUGGCUGAGCCAUGGAUGGCAAAGCUUGAAGGGAGUUCUUUCUCCCAAGGAACAGGACGAGCAUGUGGCAGCAUCCAUGGCUUUACGUUAUAAAAAGAGAAAGAGGCAAAAACCCUGUUUUGUGGGGGAAAAUAACCCCAAAUUGGGAGAUUUUGGAUUCUCAAUCGCAAAUGACCUGUGACCAUGUUUUUAAUCAUCCAAUCAAAUGGGAGCCAGAACAUUUUUAGGUGACUAAGAUCAACAACUUACAGAAGUGGGAAGGCAAGCUCAGGAUCCUUUCUCUGGAUGUUACAAAUCAUGAGCCUGAUAAAUAUCAAUAAAACAGCCAUUAGGAAAUAAAGUCAGUUUUGUAAAA